rnacentral:rRNA from 1 species
GACAGAGGAGCCAAGCGUUGUCCGGACUGACUGGGCGUAAAGCGCACGCAGGCGGCGCUGUGCGUGGGGUGUGAAAGCUCUUGGCUUAACUGAGAGAGGCCAUCCCCAUACGGCAGCGCUCGAGCGGUGCAGAGGUCCGCGGAAUUGCCGGUGUAGUGGUGAAAUGCGUAGAGAUCGGCAGGAACACCCAGGGGGAAACCAGCGGACUGGGCAUCGGCUGACGCUCAGGUGCGACGAGCGA